GAUGAACGCUGGCGGCGUGCCUAAUACAUGCAAGUCGAGCGAACAGACGAGGAGCUUGCUCCUUUGACGUUAGCGGCGGACGGGUGAGUAACACGUGGAUAACCUACCUAUAAGACUGGGAUAACUUCGGGAAACCGGAGCUAAUACCGGAUAACAUGUUGAACCGCAUGAUUCAACAGUGAAAGACGGUCUUGCUGUCACUUAUAGAUGGAUCCGCGCCGCAUUAGCUAGUUGGUAAGGUAACGGCUUACCAAGGCAACGAUGCGUAGCCGACCUGGGAGGGUGAUCGGCCACACUGGAACUGAGACACGGUCCAGACUCCUACGGGAGGCAGCAGUAGGGAAUCUUCCGCAAUGGGCGAAAGCCUGACGGAGCAACGCCGCGUGAGUGAAGAAGGUCUUCGGAUCGUAAAACUCUGUUAUUAGGGAAGAACAAAUGUGUAAGUAACUAUGCACGUCUUGACGGUACCUAAUCAGAAAGCCACGGCUAACUACGUG
rnacentral:rRNA from 1 species